AUGAACGCUGGCGGCGUGCCUAAUCCAUGCAAGUCGAGCGAACAGACGAGGAGCUUGCUCCUCUGACGUUAGCGGCGGACGGGUGAGUAACACGUGGAUAACCUACCUAUAAGACUGGGAUAACUUCGGGAAACCGGAGCUAAUACCGGAUAAUAUAUUGAACCGCAUGGUUCAAUAGUGAAAGACGGUUUUGCUGUCACUUAUAGAUGGAUCCGCGCCGCAUUAGCUAGUUGGUAAGGUAACGGCUUACCAAGGCGACGAUGCGUAGCCGACCUGAGAGGGUGAUCGGCCACACUGGAACUGAGACACGGUCCAGACUCCUACGGGAGGCAGCAGUAGGGAAUCUUCCGCAAUGGGCGAAAGCCUGACGGAGCAACGCCGCGUGAGUGAUGAAGGUCUUCGGAUCGUAAAACUCUGUUAUUAGGGAAGAACAAAUGUGUAAGUAACUAUGCACGUCUUGACGGUACCUAGUCAGAAAGCCACGGCUAACUACGUG
rnacentral:rRNA from 1 species